GAAGCAGAUUUUACUUCCAUAAGCGAAGGUCACGUUAUUUUCUGUGAUUAUUUGAAGCAUCCAUUUGUACAUCCACGCCAGGGAGAUUUACUCUUCAGGUAGAGUACACAUCAAAAUGUCUGCUUAACGUGGUGGUAUUUUUUCAAGCAUAUUCCGAGGGCAUUAUUCUGUGUGGACUGUAGUUGCCGCUACACCUAAAAAGAGAAAUGAACAUUAUUAGAGAACAAACAGGGAGGGUGGUGGACAAUUUUGGACAUUUGCAUAGAUUUGUGAAUACUGAUGGCAAGGUACUUCCUGCAACAACAUGCUUCACGCAUGCCUGACGUUAACAGCGUAUUUGCUUCUU